rnacentral:sRNA from 1 species
CCCGCGAGUCCCUACGGCAGCCGCUGCGCUUUCCUACGACCCCUCGCAUGCCCCCGCCGCGACGGAGUGUGGAUCCUCCCCCGUGCAGUGAAGGUGCCCUACUAGGUCGCUGUCGUCCAGUCCGCCGACCAUAUCCCAACCCAUCGAUGUCUGAAGCUAUUGUAGGUUCCCUUAUGUCCUCAGGGAAAAUACGUGUACUCUGUAAGAGCGGAAAAUUCAGGCUUGCUUAGCCACCCAAGACUCUGCCCCCUGCCUACUCCAUCUCCAAGGAAGCUGCAUGCCUGGGCCACUGGUCUGGUUGGCUAGCGAGGUGUAUUUCAAGCAUCUACUUGUGACAUUAACAACUUUCAAACCUGUGCUGAUUGUGGCAGUCAGGGAAUUCCUGCAUCAUACAGCGAAUGUGCCUUUAUGGCUGCUACACUAGCUACACUUCCAAUUUAUAGUUUUAAAAUUCGUUAAAUUAAAUUGUGCCAAAGUAGUGUGAUAUUACUUGGAUUGAUGCCAUUUAUCAUGGAUAGAAAUCAAAUAUAUCAUGUUCCAGUUCAUGAAACUUUUGCAGGAUGGAGAGCACAGAGGAGUGACAUGAUUCCCAUCCUCAUUCUUUGGAGAGUUUGAUAGGAUAAAACUUUGUACUUUAAUUAGCUGGAAUCUGGCCAUACCCUUGAAGAGGACAAGGGAGC